UCGCUGCCGUCUAUAAAAUAACAAGUGCGCUGAGAGGAGAGGAGUGGCUCUAAUCUUGGUUACGCUGAAUAGCCACCGUAUUUGAUCCUGAGAGGGUUUCUGCAGACAUGGAGCUUCUUCUUCUGUUUCUGAGCUUCUGUUUCCUGACUUUGUCCGGACUGACGUUUGGUGCUGAAUCCGGCUCACGUGUGAUUGUGAUGGAAGAUGACGAUGCACUUUUAAGCUGCUCC